rnacentral:rRNA from 1 species
UAAAUAGCCCGGCUGGCUUCGGCUGGUCGCUGGCUUCUUAGAGGGACUAUCGGCUUAAGCCGAUGGAAGUUUGAGGCAAUAACAGGUCUGUGAUGCCCUUAGAUAUCCUGGGCUGCACGCGCGCUACACUGACAGAGUCAACGAGUUUCCUCCCUUGGCCGGAAGGUCUGG